AAACUUUGGACUGGAAGGGUAUGGAAAGAGGUUUGCUCACUAUAGUGAGGAAGGCAGGGCGACCCUUAGCGACAAUGUCCCACGUACAUUCAGGAUCAGUCGUAAAAGGACGCAUGCAAGCAGCACCAUGAUGCCCCUGGACACUGAUGAGGACCACUCCUAUAACAAGAGGCCUUACAGCUUCCUUCCUAAAGAGUCGUAAGAUGGAACUUUGUUCUCAUGACCUCGCCAAGAACAUGAGUGAGGAAGCGCACCAAAGGCUGAAGGACUUGUGAAAGAUUCCGAGGAGUUUAUUAUUUAUUCAAUAUUUUUUUAAGUUGACCAGCUCUGAUUUUCCAUUUGAUGUUCUGUUCAAUAAAUGUUCAUUGAGGAAAA